UGCUUGAGUGAUGAGUUGCACAAUAGAUGUGGUCACAGCUUGUGUUGCUUUGGCUACAUUCUGACUGUCCUUGCUGACAAACACUGGUGCACAGGGGCCAUCUGACUUGCA